UACGUAGGUGACCAGCGUUGUCCGGAUUUACUGGGCGUAAAGAGCGCGCAGGCGGUCGUUCAAGUCGAGUGUGAAAGCCCCCGGCUCAACUGGGGAGGGUCACUCGAUACUGAUCGACUUGAAGGCAGGAGAGGGAAGCGGAAUUCCCGGUGUAGUGGUGAAAUGCGUAGAUAUCGGGAGGAACACCAGUAGCGAAGGCGGCUUCCUGGCCUGUUCUUGACGCUGAGGCGCGAAAGCUAGGGGAGCAAACGGGG
rnacentral:rRNA from 1 species